AGAGUUUGAUCCUGGCUCAGGAUGAACGCUGGCGGCGUGCCUAACACAUGCAAGUCGCACGAUGAUUAGCAAUAGUCAUAGUGGCGCACGGGUGAGUAACACGUAGCUUAUCCCCCUCAAGAGCGGGAUAACUCAGCGAAAGCUGAGCUAAUACCGCAUAAGCUCACAUCGAAUAGGUAGAGGUGAGAAAAGGUGAAAACCGCUUGAGGAUGAGGUUGCGACCCAUCAGCUAGUUGGAGUGGUAAAAGCACACCAAGGCAACGACGGGUAGGGGGCCUGAGAGGGUGACCCCCCACACUGGGACUGAGACACGGCCCAGACUCCUACGGGAGGCAGCAGUGAGGAAUAUUGGUCAAUGGGCGAAAGCCUGAACCAGCGACGCCGCGUGGGCGAUGAAGGUCUUCGGAUCGUAAAGCCCUUUUUUUGAGUGACGAGUAAGGACGGUAGCUCAAGAAAAAGUGUCGGCUAACUACGUGCCAGCAGCCGCGGUAAAACGUAGGACGCAAGCGUUAUCCGGAAUUACUGGGCGUAAAGCGCGCGCGGGCGGUUCGAUAAGUCACCUGUGAAAGCUCAUGGCUAAACUGUGAGAGGUGAGGUGAUACUAUUGGACUAGAGAUUGCUAGAGGUAUGUGGAAUUCCGCGUGUAGUGGUGAAAUGCGUAGAGAUGCGGAGGAACACCAGUGGCGAAGGCGGCAUACUGGGGCAAUACUGACGCUGAGGCGCGAAAGCAUGGGUAGCGAACGGGAUUAGAAACCCCGGUAGUCCAUGCCGUAAACGAUGUACACUAAACGUUCAGUCUUGGAAACAAGACGGGGUGUUGAAGCAAACGCGAUAAGUGUACCGCCUGGGGAGUACGGUCGCAAGGCUAAAACUCAAAGGAAUUGACGGGGGCCCGCACAAGCAGCGGAGCGUGUGGUUUAAUUCGAGGCUACACGAAAAACCUUACCUAGGUUUGACAUCCUCUGACGAUUUAUGAAAGUAAAUUUCCCUUCGGGGCAGAGAGACAGGUGUUGCAUGGCUGUCGUCAGCUCGUGUCGUGAGAUGUUCGGUUAAGUCCGAAAACGAGCGCAACCCUUACCGUUAGUUACAAGUGUCUAACGGGACUGCCUGCGGCAAGCAGGAGGAAGGUGGGGAUGACGUCGAGUCAGCAUGACCUUUAUAUCUAGGGCUACACACACGCUACAAUGGCGCGUACAUGGGUCGCGAAGCCGCGAGGCGGAGCCAAUCCUAAAAAGCGCGUCGUAGUUCGGAUUGCAGGCUGCAACUCGCCUGCAUGAAGCUGGAGUUGCUAGUAACCGCAGGUCAGCAUACUGCGGUGAAUACGUUCCCGGGCCUUGUACACACCGCCCGUCACGUCAUGGGAGCUGGUAAUGCCUGAAGUCGGGAAGCUAACCGCAAGGGGGCUACUGCCGAAGGCAGGAUUGGUGACUGGGACGAAGUCGUAACAAGGUAGCUGUAGCGGAAGCUGCGGCUG
rnacentral:rRNA from 1 species